UACAGAGGUCUCAAGCGUUGUUCGGAUUCAUUGGGCGUAAAGGGUGCGUAGGCGGCGCGGUAAGUCGGGUGUGAAAUCUCGGGGCUUAACUCUGAAACUGCAUUCGAUACUGCCGUGCUUGAGGACUGGAGAGGAGACUGGAAUUUACGGUGUAGCGGUGAAAUGCGUAGAUAUCGUAAGGAAGACCAGUGGCGAAGGCGGGUCUCUGGACAGUUCCUGACGCUGAGGCACGAAGGUCAGGGGGAGCAAACGGGG
rnacentral:rRNA from 1 species